CUGUGGGCAUAGACGACAAGUUCUCACAAUGUCUAAACAAGUUCUUCGAAUAUUUUCCCUUUUUUGAAACGUAUUUUAUUGUGAUUUCGUCUUGCAUGAUUGAAAAAUAUUGGUGAUAAAAACGUCGUUUGGUUCAAACUAUGUGCUGCAUCCUCAAGUGCAUGCUCCUGGUCAUCCCCAUUACCGUGGCCAUCCUGCUGCUGAUCACGUGGGCGGGACAGACCAUCUUCAAGAAGACCGUCACGACCACCACCACUACCAAGGCCGCCGGCGGCAUUAUGGAAGUUCUUAAGAACAUUGCUGGUUGACGGCUUAACAAUACAGGGUGUUGCAAAAUUGGUAUACUAAGCCGAAACCUACAUGUGCAGCAUGUUAUAUCUAAGCCCGAAACUGAAAUCAGAAUUAGGAAAUUCGCGAAAAAAACUUUUUUUUUUUCCAUAGUAAAAGUCACGUGAAAUUUUCAAAUUCUGAUUUCAGUUUCGGGCUCAGAUAUAACAUGCUGCACAUGUAGGUUUCGGCUUAAUAUACCCUUUUUGCAACACCUUGUAUAAGCACAAGAUGGAGCGUCAGUCCAAAAGAAACAGCUCGACAAAAUACUAACAGCACUUCUACCACUGAGCUCUUUAUUUUCUGUUGGAAGUUUAUUUAAUGCUUUUUUAGUAUUUGAUACACCAUCCUGUUAAUAUAUUGUUAAUCUAAGGGUGACGGUAAUGAUAAAACGGACUAAAUUUUGUUAUAAACUCUGUGCUACAAUAACUACAAUCGAAAGGACUGAUGAAGGGAUAAAGCAAUAUGAUACUGUUGUAUUUUUUAAGAUUACUUAUUUCUUUGUACAAUAUUUUGUUAUGUAGUUUUAGAAUAGAAUAGAAUAGAUAUUCUUUAUUUGUACACAGAAACAUGGAUAAAAUUACAAAAAAUACUUAAUCUAACACAUAUGUACAAAUGGCGGCCUUAUCGCUUAAAGCGAUUUCUUCCAGGCAACCAUUGGGUGGAAGGAUAUUGCGAUGCAAAGGGUUAAGUGUACUAGGAAUAAAGAAUAUACAUUAAAUAUUUAAUAUACUUAGCUUUAAAUAUUUAUAUACUAUGUACCUAUAAUAUACUUACAAUAUAUAUAUAUAUAUAUAUAUUAUAAUAUAUAUCAAUAUAUAAUACAAUACAUGCCACGUUACUUAUAUAUAAUAAUAAGCAUAUUAAAGAGGAUAUAGCGAUCUGUCUGUCAAAAACAGUCAUUCAAGAGCCGAGGAAGUGGUCUUUUAGCAUUCUUUUAAAGGAGACCAAUGACGGUGCUUUCCGUAUACUAAGUGGGAGAUCGUUCCAUAAAGUGAUAGCUUGUAUCAUGAAGGAGUCACUAAAGAAUUUCGUAGUAUGGGGUGGAAUGUUCAGCCGUAGGUUUUCUGAGGAACGCAAUCCCCGGCUGUGAGUUUUAGUUAUUAAUUUAUAAUAUAUAUACGUACUGUUAUUUUCGUA